UUACCAGGUCUUGACAUCCUCUGACCAUCUGAGAGAUCAGACUUUCCCUUGGGGGACAGAGAGACAGGUGGUGCAUGGUUGUCGUCAGCUCGUGUCGUGAGAUGUUGGGUUAAGUCCCGCAACGAGCGCAACCCCUGUGGUUAGUUGCCAUCAUUUAGUUGGGCACUCUAAGCAGACUGCCGUGGAUAACCCGGAGGAAGGUGGGGACGACGUCAAAUCAUCAUGCCCCUUAUGACCUGGGCUACACACGUGCUACAAUGGUCUGAACAGAGGGCUGCGAAACCGCGAGGUGAAGCUAAUCCCUUAAAACAGAUCUCAGUUCGGAUUGCAGGCUGCAACUCGCCUGCAUGAAGUUGGAGUUGCUAGUAAUCGCGAGAUCA
rnacentral:rRNA from 1 species